rnacentral:rRNA from 1 species
AUUGAACGCUGGCGGCAGGCUUAACACAUGCAAGUCGAGCGGAGAGAGGUAGCUUGCUACUGAUCUUAGCGGCGGACGGGUGAGUAAUGCUUAGGAAUCUGCCUCUUAGUGGGGGACAACAUUUCGAAAGGAAUGCUAAUACCGCAUACGUCCUACGGGAGAAAGCAGGGGAUCUUCGUACCUUGCGCUAAUAGAUGAGCCUAAGUCGGAUUAGCUAGUUGGUGGGGUAAAGGCCUACCAAGGCGACGAUCUGUAGCGGGUCUGAGAGGAUGAUCCGCCACACUGAGACUGAGACACGGCCCAGACUCCUACGUGAGGCAACAGUGGGGAAUAUUGGACAAUGGGCGGAAGCCUGAUCUAGCCAUGCCGCGUGUGUGAAGAAGGCCUUAUGGUCGUAAAGCACUUUAAGCGAGGAGGAGGCUACUUUAGUUAAUACCUAGAGAUAGUGGACGUUACUCGCAGAAUAAGCACCGGCUAACUCUGUGCCAGCCGCCGCAGUAA